rnacentral:rRNA from 1 species
AACGAACGCUGGCGGCAUGCCUAACACAUGCAAGUCGAACGAGGCCUUCGGGUCUAGUGGCGCACGGGUGCGUAACGCGUGGGAACCUGCCCUUAGGUUCGGAAUAAAUCCCCGAAAGGGGUGCUAAUACCGGAUAAUGUCUUCGGACCAAAGCUUUAUCGCCUUUGGAUGGGCCCGCGUUGGAUUAGCUAGUUGGUAGGGUAAAAGCCUACCAAGGCGACGCUCCAUAGCUGGUCUGAGAGGAUGAUCAGCCACACUGGGACUGAGACACGGCCCAGACUCCUACGGGAGGCAGCAGUGGGGAAUAUUGGACAAUGGGCGAAAGCCUGAGCCAGCAAUGCCGCGUGAGUGAUGAAGGCCGUAGGGUUGUAAAGCUCUUUUACCCGGGAUGAUAAUGACAGUACCGGGAGAAUAAGCUCCGGCUAACUCCGUG